GGGUGCAUAGCUCAGCUGGAUAGAGCAACGGCCUUCUAAGCCGUAGGUCCGGGGUUCGAAUCCCUGUGCACUCGCCA
rnacentral:tRNA from 1 species